rnacentral:rRNA from 1 species
UACGGAGGGUGCAAGCGUUGUCCGGAUUUAUUGGGUUUAAAGGGUGCGUAGGCGGCCUUUUAAGUCAGUGGUGAAAGACGGUGGCUCAACCAUCGCAGUGCCAUUGAUACUGAAAGGCUUGAGUACAGUUGAGGUAGUUGGAAUGAGUAGUGUAGCGGUGAAAUGCAUAGAUAUUACUCAGAACACCGAUUGCGAAGGCAGAUUACUAAACUGGAACUGACGCUGAGGCACGAAAGCGUGGGGAUCAAACAGGAUUAGAUACCCUGGUAGUCCACGCCGUAAACGUUGGAUACUCGAUGCGCGCGAUAAACAGUGCGUGUCCAAGCGAAAGCGAUAAGUAUCCCACCUGGGGAGUACGCCCGCAAGGGUGAA